UGCAGGGUAACCCUAACCCCAGCAGUGAUUGAAACAGAUAGAGGGGUGGCUCUCCCGCACAAUGCCCAGGCCCCCACUCCUCUCCUCCUCCUCCUUGCACUUCCUCAAGAGCUUUUGUCUUCUGGUCCCCUGGGCUGUGAGGCUCUCUCAUUCCCGGCACACACUGCCCAUUAAAUUCAAAACUGAGGCCUCUGGGGAAAGGGUCUGGCACUUUCUCUCCCUCCCCUUAUCUCCCGCUAGCUGUUCCCCAUCCUCACCUGCCUGGUCCGCAGAUAAGCCUAGUUGUGAGUAAAGGGGCAUGCUGGUGCCUGCUUCACAUCUGUCCCAGGGUCCCCACCUCGCACCCCACCCUGGACACCCCACCAGGGCUGCUCCCUCUCUGGAUAAGGCCUGGGGCGGUGGAACCAUGCAUCAGUCAGUGCUCGGAAGCUAUAGGAAACGUUCUGAGGACUCCUCCAAGCCGCCCAGAGAUGGGGAACCAGAGUUGGCUUUCAGCUCCCAUAGGAAGCUCUUGCAAUAAGGCAGAAAGGAUUACCCAAAGAACUCAGAACGUAAAGAAAGAAGAGGCUGGUGAAGAAUGCCCUGCUUGUUUUCACUACUGGACUGGCGCUUGUCAACCAAACCAAUUCAUAUCAUGCCUACUCUUGAAGAAGAGAAGUGUUUUAUGUACUUUUGCCUUUGUUGCUAAUUCUGUGAUCUGAGCCUCAUCUCCCAUGUAGAUAGGGAGCUUGCUAAGGAUGGUGAUCAUGUUUUCUCCUUCUCAGUACUCCACAGUGUGGACGAGCAUAUGGUUAGAUCAACAGCAGAUGGUCAGCAAAGACAUGUUACAUGGAAUUAAAAUAGGUGAAUUAACAUUUUAUGGGAACAAUAUUGGCUAGAUGGUGGAAAAGACUUAUGAUGUGUGUUUUUCACAACCAACAUUCCAAAUGGACCAACCCUAAGGUUCUCUUGACCAGCACUUGGAAGGGCGGUUGAGUGAGGAAGAAGGAAAUAUCAAA